UCAAGGCGUUACACGUUAUUUUAUUACAUGUAACUGUCGUUUAAAUUCCACAUGAGAGUAAUAGGCUGCUGUAGCCUUUAUAUUAUUUAAUUUGUUACCUCUUGUUUUCGAAGCGUAGAGUAACCAUGACUGAGGUGUAUUUCUUUUUAUGUACUACAAAUUAUUUAUUACAAUGAACAACAUUCAUUCGACAUUCGGGGCGAUAAUUGAUCUUGUUGUUUCAAUAUUAGAAACGGUGUGAUAUACAUUGAUGAUGGUCACCCUGCUGCUACGUAAGUUUGAUAGAAAGUCAACAGUGCAAGGCUAUUUGGAGGUCAACCGGAUAUUUUUUGAGGAGAUAUAACGUGAUUUUAAAAGUGAAAAAAAUCUAUCAGUUUUAUUAAAUAAGUGUGGUUGAUUAAAUAUUAUACCAAGGACGGUCCGUGAUGACGGAGUUGUUUAUUUUGUGCAGUGUUCUCACAGUAAGGUGAUUACCAGAGUAAGGGGUUUGUUGAGAAAAUACAAUAAAAAAGUUUUAGAAGCUAUAAAAGGUCUGAACAGCCAUAU